GACAGAGGGGGCUAGCGUUGUUCGGUAUUACUGGGCUUAAAGGGCGCUUAGGCGGUAAUGUAAGUCUGAGGUGGAAUCCUUUGGCUUAACCAAAGGACUGCCUUGGAAACUGCAUAACUUGAGUCAGAUAGGGGAAGGCGGAAUUCCUGGUGUAGCAGAGAAAUGCGUAGAUAUCAGGAGGAAGGCCUGUGGCGAAGCAGGCCUUCGGGGUCUUGUUUGACGCUGAGGCGCGAAAGCUUGGGGAGCAAACAGG
rnacentral:rRNA from 1 species